AGAGUUUGAUCCUGGCUCAGAACGAACGCUGGCGGCAGGCCUAACACAUGCAAGUCGAGCGCACCACUUCGGUGGCGAGCGGCGGACGGGUUAGUAACGCGUGGGAAUAUGCCCUUCUCUACGGAAUAGCCUUUGGAAACGAAGAGUAAUACCGUAUACGCCCUUCGGGGGAAAGAUUUAUCGGAGAAGGAUUAGCCCGCGUAAGAUUAGAUAGUUGGUGGGGUAAUGGCCUACCAAGUCUACGAUCUUUAGCUGGUUUUAGAGGAUGAUCAGCAACACUGGGACUGAGACACGGCCCAGACUCCUACGGGAGGCAGCAGUGGGGAAUCUUGGACAAUGGGCGCAAGCCUGAUCCAGCCAUGCCGCGUGUGUGAUGAAGGCCCUAGGGUCGUAAAGCACUUUCGCCAGAGAUGAUAAUGACAGUAUCUGGUAAAGAAGUCCCGCUAACU
rnacentral:rRNA from 1 species